UACGUAGGGACCAAGCGUUGUUCGGAUUUACUGGGCGUAAAGGGCGCGUAGGCGGCAAAUUAAGUCAGCUGUGAAAUCUCCGAGCUUAACUCGGAACUAUCAGCUGAUACUGAUGUGCUAGAGUGCGGAAGGGGCAAUCGGAAUUCUUGGUGUAGCGGUGAAAUGCGUAGAUAUCAAGAGGAACACCUGAGGUGAAGACGGGUUGCUGGGCCGACACUGACGCUGAGUGCGCGAAAGCCAGGGGAGCAAACGGG
rnacentral:rRNA from 1 species